UACGAAGGGGGAGCUAGCGUUGCUCGGAAUGACUGGGCGUAAAGGGCGCGUAGGCGGUUAUUGGUCAGAUGUGAAAUUCCUGGGACUUAACCUGGGGGCUGACCUAUUUGAAACUAAUUAGGCUAGAGUUCGGAAGAGGGUCGUGGAAUUCCCGAGUGUAGGAGGUGAAAUUCGUAGAGUAUUAGGGAAGAACACCGGUGGCGAAGGCGGCGACCUGGUCCGAUACUGACGGCGA
rnacentral:rRNA from 1 species